UACGUAGGGUCCGAGCGUUGUCCGGAAUUAUUGGGCGUAAAGAGCUUGUAGGCGGUCUGUCGCGUCUGCUGUGAAAAUCCGGGGCUCAACCCGGACUUGCAGUGGGUACGGGCAGACUAGAGUGUGGUAGGGGAGACUGGAAUUCCUGGUGUAGCGGUGAAAUGCGCAGAUAUCAGGAGGAACACCGGUGGCGAAGGCGGGUCUCUGGGCAUCUCCUGACGUGAGGCGCGAAAGCGUGGGGAGCAAACGGG
rnacentral:rRNA from 1 species